GAAAAGAGACGUGUAAUAAUACAAAGAAAACAAAAUGCUUAGGAGGGAAAAGAGGCACUAGACUGCUAGACGAAAACAUGUAAUGCAUCCACUAUCGCUUCUCCGAUUUGAAGAGAGAUGGAGUCGGUCCACGAGACUCCAACGCGCUCUCGAGUUCACAUGAGAUAGAAAAGAUGGGGAUUAGACACAUAUUCGACUUUAUAAGAGAUACAAAGUGAAUUACGAACUCUUGUUGAAGUAAAAAAAAAAAAAAUCAUUUCAGUACAUGGCAAAAGGGACUUGACUUUUAAAACUAAUCAAUAAAGACGCCAAUAAUGGGAUCCAGAACUCAGAUAGACUAAUAAGACGUAAAUAAUGGCAAGAAAUUUACAAAUACAAGUUAGUAAGGGGGCAUAUUUCUAAUUCUAAUGCUCAUUCCUUACUUUUAGUAACAACUAGAUGACAACUCAAAUUGUAUUAGCCUCAUGUCAUAGGAAAUAAGACAAGAACAGAGGAGCAAAAGUUUCACAGGAAACAAAAUAAUUUAGAGAUUAAGAACUGAGUUAAUGAUGCAAUAAAAAAAGAUACGGAAACAUAUGGCACACUUCAAUCAAAAAUAUGAGAGAUUUGGUUAAAUUUUCCCUAACACAAGAUUUUUCUUUUUUUACCAUUUAUGUAUGCGCGACUUACGAAAAUCAACUACCAUAACGAAGGAUCAACUCGCAUGAAAAGAAAAGAAAACCAAUAACGAUACAAAUGCUCAAGUUCAAACACACCUACUCUGUUAGAAGAAGGGGCAACCAAAGAAUUAAAAUUUUGUUUCUUUUAGAAGCGAAUUCACUAAUUAUUAUUAUUACAAAACAAUAGCUGCACGUAGUAACAUACGAGUAAUGAAUAAGGGAAGGCGGGAUGGUUCAUGCAUAAUCUUAGGACUAGAAUAACCCAGAUAUUCACAAAAUCAUACUGGACGAAGGAGAAAGAGGUGCAAACACGUCAUUUCGGCUUAGAACUACUUUACCAGGAGCAUGAAAUUAAAGCGCUUUUUUGUUAUAUGGAAAAGGGUGAUAAAUACUACUAUUGAGAGAAGAAACGGAAACGUCCGCCGAAUUUUCUUUAGAUCUUAGGACAUUUGAAUGGUUAUCAUGCUCAAGAUAUAUGUUUUAAAAGCCAAGGCAGUAGAUGAUUCAAAAUAAUUUUAUUUUAUCAAGAACGACACUGACUUUUGAAAUAGACAUGCCAAUACAACUACAACCGUUUGAACACAAGAAUACCUCACAUAUGACUCGGCAUUAUGCAACCUUUCUUCGUAUCACAGAAAAGUAGCCAAAUUGCUUCAGACGACAUUAAUAAAUGCAAGCAGAGAACAAACGAGCAUGGAUGGCAAAACAUAGACUGUCAUAAUCAACUGGUAAAGUAACUCUUUAAAUCUACAAUCAUUCGAGGCAAGAAUCUGAGUCCAAAAAGUAAAGAAAUGCCAAGAUAGAAACAAAAUCAUGUUUUUAUUAUUUAAAUGAUAACCAAAAAAAUAAAGAAGAAGACUCGACCCAUGUAGAUUUGCGAACAUAACAAAAACCUCAACUCAAUCAUAUCAAGUAUGCAAAGAGAGACCAAAAUAACUAAUUUAGGCCGGCUAAUGGUAAAAUAGCUUUUAUGAUCUUGAACUGCAUGCAUCUAGAUAGUCAAAUCGAACUCCAUUUUCCUUUUGUGUCAAACUUGGGAUUCUAGACCAACUCCACCAAACAAAGCAAAGAGAGACGAAUCCCAUCGAAGAACUUAGCUUUGUUUCACGUGAUGUAGUAAUCUAAACGAAAUAACAUGUAGAGUUCUUAACAAAUCAUCUUAUGUAUUUAUGUAAAAAAAAUGCUAGUACAAAUUAUAAGGUCGAUUAAACCUUACAGACACAUAUCAGAAUAAUAAAUGGUCCAACCAACAGGAAACCAUAACUGGAAACCCGUGGGAAAACAAAAAAAAACUAAAAAUGAACCUGCAAUGUACAGAACAUAAACUAAAAUGAACUAAGGCUAGUUGUGUCUCAUGCAGCAAAAUCAACCAAUUAACAUCUCAACUAGGACUCGAUAAACGAUUUUAUUCCAAAUUUUCAUUCAUAACCAGCCAACAAAACAACCGACUCCAAUUCAUUUCUUAUUUAUGUUCAUAAUUAGCCAAACGAGAAAGACAAACUCAGACCCAAUUUGCAGUUAACAAACGACAAACCAUCACAAUUAAAAUUGAAACCAACAGAUUACACAUUAACCCUUAAUUUUACGCUGGUACUUUCGUACCCAUAAUAACUUCAGCAAAAAAUCAAAAUUUAUAUUCUAUCCACAGAGGCGACAAAGGGCAACAUAUCAACAAAAUUUAACAUUUUAAAAUUACACCAGAUAUUUCACAAACUGCAAAAAUCUAAAGGAAACGAAGACGGAGAUGAGUAAAGAGAGGCGGAUUCGCACCUUUUUGGGUUCAGCGAACAAGGACGACAAGUCGAAGAGCGAUUCCGCCACUAUCUUUGAUUACGAACUCGGCCGAUGAAAGAGAGUCAACGAGAGUGGUUGAAGUAAAUCAAAACAAAGGAAAAUAGAGCGAAGAAAGUAGAGAAAACAGUGAGUAAAGAGUGUGAUCAUAACCCUCCAAUUCCCUAAUUUCUCUCCCCUUUUUAUAGGCGAAAUUGGGUUGCUAACAGCUUCUUUUAGAAGCUUUGAAAAGUUUCAAAAAUUGAAUUUGAACAGUGACGGUUUGAAGGUAGUGAGGUUUGGAUCCGUAGAUUUAAGCCCGAUAGCCGUCGAAUCAAGAAAAAAAAAUAC
rnacentral:lncRNA from 1 species